UCCCUGUGAAAAUCUGUUCUUUAAAGCUCAACCGGAGCAAACAGCAACCCACUUAAAACCUUUUUUGCCAUUUGCUCUGAUUGAGUGCUGAAGAGCAGGUUUUCACAGGGA